GUCAGUGUGGUGUAGUGGUUUGAGCAUUGGACUAUGGCUCUGGAGACUAAGGUUUGAAACCUCACUCAGCCA